rnacentral:rRNA from 1 species
AUUGAACGCUGGCGGCAUGCUUUACACAUGCAAGUCGAACGGUAACAGGCCUUCGGGUGCUGACGAGUGGCGAACGGGUGAGUAAUGCAUCGGAACGUACCCAGAGGUGGGGGAUAACGCGGCGAAAGCUGUGCUAAUACCGCAUGUGAUCUGAGGAUGAAAGCGGGGGACCGAGCAGCAAUGUUUGGCCUCGCGCCUUUGGAGCGGCCGAUGUCGGAUUAGCUAGUUGGUGGGGUAAAGGCCUACCAAGGCGACGAUCCGUAGCUGGUCUGAGAGGACGACCAGCCACACUGGGACUGAGACACGGCCCAGACUCCUACGGGAGGCAGCAGUGGGGAAUUUUGGACAAUGGGCGCAAGCCUGAUCCAGCAAUGCCGCGUGCGGGAAGAAGGCCUUCGGGUUGUAAACCGCUUUUGGCAGGAACGAAACGGUGUCCGCUAAUACCGGGCGCUAAUGACGGUACCUGCAGAAUAAGCACCGGCUAACUACGUG